rnacentral:rRNA from 1 species
GACGAACGCUGGCGGCGUGCCUAAUACAUGCAAGUCGAACGCAGUGGGGACGGGUGAGUAACACGUGGGUAACCUCCCAUCAGAGGGGAUAACACUUGGAAACAGGUGCUAAACCGAUACUGAUGGAUGGACCCGCGGUGCAUUAGCUAGUUGGUGAGGUAACGGCUCACCAAGGCCACGAUGCAUAGCCGACUGGGUGGGUGGAUCGGCCACACUGGGACGUAGCAACGGCCCAGACUCCUACGGGAGGCAGCAGUAGGGAAUCUUCGGCAAUGGACGAAAGUCGGACCGAGCAACGCCGCGGGAGUGAAGAAGGUUUUCGGAUCGUAAAACUCUGUUGUUAGAGAAGCGGUAUCUAACCAGAAAGCCACGGCUAACUACGUGCCAGCAGCCGCGGUAAUUC